rnacentral:rRNA from 1 species
CACGUAGGGUGCGAGCGUUGUCCGGAAUUAUUGGGCGUAAAGAGCUCGUAGGCGGUGUGUCGCGUCGGCCGUGAAAACCUGCAGCUUAACUGUGGGCUUGCGGUCGAUACGGGCAUCACUGGAGUUCGGCAGGGGAGACUGGAAUUCCUGGUGUAGCGGUGAAAUGCGCAGAUAUCGGGAGGAACAUCAGUGGCGAAGGCGGCUGCCUGGCCCAAUACUGACACUCAGGUGCGACAGCGUGGGGAGCAAACAGG